UCUGUGCGCCCCUUUUAUAACCAUUGUUUAGGUCUGUGAGUCAAUGGCCCCUUCGGGAUAUAUAAAAUAAUAAUAAAGGUAGUAAUGUUCAGAGAUGCACAGAAUCAUGACAAUGCAGUUCUUUACUGUAGGAAAUAUAUAUUUUUUCCUUAUUUUUACUUUAUGUUGAUGUACUCGGUUAUUCAAUUUAUUACAUUAUUUUAAUUAGCUUUUCCUGCCAAGCUGCUGCGGUCACCCUAGCACCCUCUUGCGGCCCCGCAGGGGUCCCUGACCCCCACUUUGAAAACCACUGGUUUAGGCUAUGCAAGGUUUGAGACAGUAUUUGUUUUUAGUGAUAUGUCAUAAAUAUUUUGUGUGAUAUUUAUUCUCAUCUAAAUCUCAUCUCAUGUUUUUGAACAGUGGUGGGUAGCCACCCAUGCACGUUGACACAGCCAGCAGCGAGUACCCAGGGCGAUGGACCCAGAAGUGGAGGAUGAUCCAAUAGGUGUGAGGAAAAGACGCAUACUAGAGGGAGUCGAGGACUUGGCUGGCCUACAAAAUGUCACUAAGGGAUGCAACUGACAGCUGAAGUAGGAUCUUUUUUGUUUUUUGGCCAUGACAAUGCUUUGACAGUUGAUAAUAAACUGAUAAUUACGAUA